rnacentral:lncRNA from 1 species
AAAGGGUCACCGUUUAACACCGGCGCGUGCCACCAACCGGUGUUAAAGACCCUUUAACACCGGUUCUAGCUACGGACCGGUGCUAAAGGGUCCGCCCCUAUAUAAGCACACAGACACUCUAGAUCCGAGCAGUUGCCUUCGUCUUCGUCGAGCAGAGCCAUAUCCAGUGCCGUCGGCCAUUCGUCUUCAGCACGCGCGUCCUCGUCAUCGAUCUCCAGCGCCGCCGUGGCUGUCUCUAGCGCCGCCACGGCCAUCUCCACCAAACUCGGAUCGGCCAUCUCACUAUACGUACUAGAUCGAUCUAUCCCACCGAGGCUAAUCUGAAAACUAUGAGUUUUCAUAUGCAAUUUGAUCAUAGAAUAAUCAAAUAGACCACAAAAUAAUUUUUCACAGAUACUAUGAGUACAAAUUCAACAAUAAUACAAGUUUUAUAUUUUAAACUUGUAUAUAAUUUGAAUAAUAAUUAUGGUCAAAAUUUAUAUAAGUUGCUUUUUUUCUGUUUGAAAUAUAAUUAUCAUUUUGGAACCUUUCAAAGUAUAUAUAGUACUUUUUAAACCUUUCAAUUCCAAUUGGUAGACAACAAGUUACAUUUUCGAUCUAUGCCUUCUUUUGCAUCCAGGAAAGAGGCCACCCACAAAUAUCAUUGCCUGUAAUUUAUACUACUUAAUUGUUAGGAACUAAGUAGUAGUAUAUAAGUCUCUAAUAUAUAUUUUAUUCUCUAGUGUUUUGUAGAUAUUAUUGUUUAUACUAUUAUUCUAGUAUUAUUUUUUAGUAUAUUAUCCUAGUAUUAUUUAGUAUAUUACUUGGCUUAAAAGAUUCAAGUAUUAUUUUUUAGUUUGGAGCACUCUAGCACUUUCGUUUGUAGUAGUACUAGUAGUACUAUAUAAGUCUCUAAUAUAUAUUUUAUUUUCUAGUGUUUUGUAUAUAUUAUUGUUGUACUAUUAUUUUAGUAUUAUUUUUAGUAUUAUUUUUUAAUAUAUUAUCCUAGUAUUAUUCUAGUAUACUACUUGGCUUAAAUGAUUUUAGUAUUUUUUUAGUUUGG